CAGAGCUGUGGAGUGUGACAAUGGUGUUUGUGUCCAAACUAUCAAACGCCAUCAUCACACUAAAUAGCUACUG
rnacentral:pre_miRNA from 1 species